rnacentral:lncRNA from 1 species
UAUCAUGUAACAAAUAUCUAGAAAGCAAAUACAUAGAAUUUUAAACGAGUUUAUACUGCCUCUUGGGAAAGGAGUAUAUACUUGUCAAGUGGCAACAACGUACAUACUUCUUUGGUGGUGCUACAGGAACCUGGAUCUUAUAACGAAUUUGUAUCUUGAUCAGAACAUGCAACUACUCUUACAUUUUUAAGAACGAUUAAAUGCUAGAAAAAUAGGGAGUACAAAAAAGAUAGUAUCUUCCAUCAAGCUCCACAUGACACCAAAAUACUUUAAGAAAAAUCGAUUGGACGUUCCUCGGUCACAUGAAUUCUACAUGCUUUGCACCCAUGGUAACUGUGGCGACACAAGGUGCUUCUUCCUUGUUUCUUCAAUCAAUUGACGGGUGGCUGCAACGAUUAAUCCAAGUACAAGAUCGGCAUUAGUAUGGGAUAUAUUUUUAGUCAAAACAGUAAUGGGUUAAAGCACAACUACAUGUAUAUAUUCAUCUUUUAUUAAAAUACACUAACUAGAUGACGGAAGGGAUCGAUAUUCUCACAAUCUCACUAAACAAGAUAUGCGUUUUUUGAUUAUUUGGUAACAUAAUACAAUCACAAUUCCAUUGUCAGGAAAAGAAAGUAAAAGAAAAUUAAUUAGCACGUAACCAUUGUAUAGAUUUAUAGCCAAUAUGUAGUGGUUUCCGCCUAUUACAUCAAAGGAGUUGCUAAAGAACUGAUGCCGCUAGGAAUUUAUGCAUGCAUGCAGAUAGUGAUGGGACAAAUCAAUCAGGUAUACGAGACGCGCUGCGUGACAAGGUGCCUUUCCUGGACGUGUAUGGCUGGGAGUGGACACCCUGCGAGCAAAAUUGUACAGAUUCAACUACAACUAGUCUGCGAGCAAAAUUGUACAGAUUCAACUACAACUAGUCUACAUACUGAACAACAAAAUGAGGAAGAGAGAUAUUUGCUUUGCUCGUGGAAAGUUCAGACUUGGACCGAUAGAAUAUGGACAUGCAUCUAGUUACACACGAGCUAAGAUCGAUGAUAAGCAACAUACCUCGUGUGAGUUGUGGCUGAUUCUGACGGGGGGAGUGGCCGGUGGAGAGCGCUCGACGUCGGAGACCUGCUGGGCAAAAAGGGG